GCCCCAUUGGCGGAAUUGGCAGACGCACCGGAUUUAAGACCCGGCGCCAUGCGGUGCAGGUUCGAGUCCUGCAUGGGGUACCA
rnacentral:tRNA from 1 species